GUGCUCACUUCAGCAGCACAUCUACUAUAACUUGGAAUGAUACAGAGAAGAUUAGCAUGACCCUGCACACGGAUGUCACGCAAAUUCGUGAAGCAUUCCAUAUUUUG